AGGAGGACUGGGACCCUUGGGGCUUUCCAGGUUGAAGACACAGCAGCAGAAACACCUGAUCAGCUGUUCCAUAUGGGAUGCACCUGGGGCUUCAGCCAUGGGAAAGGGAGAUUCAAUCCAGUCCUCGAUGAAAGCUGAUAUCUGCCCAGAAACUAAAUCAUCGAGUCCCCUGCAGUUACCUUUGUGCUUCCUGGCUAGAGGCUCGACAGCAGUACAAUAGGCUUAAAGGACUGCAGAACAGCCCAAGGGAUGGAAAUAAGAGAGACGGCAACUUUUUCCCCAGGGAUGUGUCAG